GCCGGCUGAGGGGGGCGGGGGGCGGGACCAGCCGGCCCCGCCCCGCCCCGCCCCGCGCGCGGCGCGGAGGUGACGCAGCCGUUGCCGCAGAGACGAACCGCCCCGGCCCCCCCCGCCGGCCCGGCCCCCCCGUCCCGGUGCGGCGCGGCUCGGCUCGGCUCGGCUCGGCUCGGUCCAUCCCGCGCAGCGGCUCCGGGACGCGCCUCCUGUCACCUUCAGCGGCGCUGGCCCGGGCGGGAGGCGCGCCGCGGCGCCGCCAUGGUGCUCAUCAAGGAAUACCGAGUUAUCCUGCCCGUGUCUGUGGAGGAGGUGAGUUCUUUGCUUCUUGCUUUAGGACUGUAAAUAAACCUGUGAUCAAAGCAGGAACAAAAACUGGAAAAUGCAAGCUGUCUUCAGGAGCCCCUGUGAGCUGUUACUCAUUCACCAUCAUUUUUGACCAAAUAAUUGUAUUAAGUCUGAGGGUGCCAAUCAUCUCUCUUACAAAAUACUUUCAGAUAUGCUGAUUAUAAAUCUUGAGCUGUCAGGCUGUUUUCAAGUGCAGUUUCCUUUUCAUUAGCACUAUUGUUCUUUUCUACUUUUUUAACACAAAGGGGAAGCUUUAGCACAGAUUUAAGUCACCUUUUAAACUAUGUUUUGCUGGAGCUCUUUUGUUUUAAACUCUUAGGCAAAGAUCAAGAAUUACUUAGGAGGCUCACAUAGCAAAAGGACGUUUUAAGACCUGUGCUAUUUAGCUCUUGCUCUUACAUACAGAAAACUUUCUUUUUGUUUAGAUAAAGCAAAGUUUUAAGAGAGGAAUUGUAGAACUAAGAGAGGAAAUGUAGUUUCUAUUGGACAGGGUGAUUUUCAUCACCAAACCACCCAUGGAAUAGCUGUGCAGACUCAGUGGCUGUUUCCCUCCUGUUUCCUCUGAUUUUCAGCUUGCCUUUCCUUCCUUCCUCUUGCAUUGAACAUCACUCUUGAAGAGAAUCUAACCAUAUAAGUGUUUUGAGUUUUUAAAUCUUUAUACUAACAAGGUAGAAGUUGAAAUGACUGAAUCUACAGCACUUCCAUAGCAGAUUCCUUCUCCUGGAUGUGUUUUAUUUUUUCCUUGUGAUCCUUGGCUGUGAGCCUUGGGUUUGUGAACUCUGAUCAAGGCCUUGUUCUGACUCUUGGGGAGAGCUGUGAUAACAGCACUCUUGUUCAUUUCUCCUUCCUCUCGAUAUAGCAGCUACUGUGGCGUAGACAGUGGUGGGCUGGCUCAUGGCAGCACUUUUUUAAGCAGAUCCCUUUUAUAACUCUCACUCUUCUGACAAAACACGGUUUAGAACUUCAUGUAGUGCAUUCCUGCAGCCAUCAGACUGGCUGGUAAAGCAGAAGCAGUGUCUGAGCUGAGUUUCUUGUUCCUGUGACAGGUAUCAGAGACUGACAGAAAGCCCAGAACUCUGAUCAGG
rnacentral:lncRNA from 1 species